AGAGAGAGACAUGCGCGCAUAUCAAUAAGCGGAGGAAAAGAAACUAACAAGGAUUCCCCUAGUAACGGCGAGUGAAGCGGGAAGAGCUCAAAUUUGAAAUCUUAAAGGGUUUCCCUUUACGAAUUGUAGUUUAGAGAAGUGUUCUCUGUUGAGGUUUUGGUAAAAGUUCUUUGGAAUAGGACAUCAUAGAGGGUGAGAAUCCCGUAUUUGACCAUUACUUUCCAACUUUGUGAUACACUUUCAAAGAGUCGGAUUGUUUGGGAAUGCAGUCCAAAAUGGGUGGUAAAUUUCAUCUAAAGCUAAAUAUUGGCGAGAGACCGAUAGCGAACAAGUACCGUGAGGGAAAGAUGAAAAGAACUUUGAAAAGAGAGUUAAACAGUACGUGAAAUUGUCAAGAGGGAAGCGUUUGACACCAGUGUUGUUUUUCUGAAAAUCAAUUAAAGAACUGUUUAUGCUAAGUUGUUUAGACUUUAUCAGCUAACUGUUUAGUUUUGAGCCUUUCUUUAAUGCACUUUUCAGUUAACAAGUCAACAUCAAUUUCUUUUGCUGUAAAAAAGCUUGAGGAAGGUGGCUUGAGAUUCGUCUUAAGUGUUUAUAGCCUCUUGCCUAUGCAGUCGGAGAGAUUGAGGUCUGCAGCGUAGAUCCUUCGGGGCUAAAUGCAUUUGUGCUAAGUUAUAGCAUUUUAUAGACAACUUGUUGACUAUGAUUUGUCUUGCUAGCUUACUCGCUUAUGUUAUUUUACCUACGCUUAGGAUGUUGAGCGCAUGUCUCUCUCU
rnacentral:rRNA from 1 species